rnacentral:rRNA from 1 species
UACGUAGGGGGCAAGCGUUGUUCGGAAUUACUGGGCGUAAAGGGCGCGUAGGCGGCAUGGCAAGUCGGGAGCGAAAGGCCUGGGCUCAACCGAGGAACUGCUUUCGAGACUGCCAAGCUAGAGUGCGGAAGGGGCAUCUGGAAUUCCCAGUGUAGCGGUGAAAUGCGUAGAUAUUGGGAAGAACACCUGAGGCGAAGGCGGGAUGCUGGGCCGACACUGACGCUGAGGCGCGAAAGCCAGGGGAGCAAACGGG